CUUUCUGAAGUGAAAGGAUUAUUGUUCAGCAUUAGGGAGGCAAGUGUCCAGUGCUCUAACUGCUGCCAGUAAUGAAAAUCUGCGACUCAUUCCUGGCUACAUCUCAGUGUCCAUGGAGAAGAGAGCUAGCCCCUGACUAGUGGAUCCCAGGAGAGGACACAGCACAAUUCAACUAGGAUUUACCCAUGUCUUCAGAACAUGAUUAACUUCUGCAGACGCUGAGAUCUUACAUUUGCCCUUUACAUUCCACUAGUUGAAGAUGUGAUCUCACAGCUUCCUGCUCUGGCAACCUGUUGCUAUGUCACAGUGCACUCUCCCUGUGGAACAGUAAGAUCCAUCAUUUCUACUUCCUCAUUAAAUUUUUGUUUUAUAUUUGGAUGCCGGGAGAUUUUAUUCUAAGCCACAUUAUUCAUCCUGUUAAUUAUAUUGCUUUUUGAAAUGAAUUUUUAAACU